rnacentral:lncRNA from 1 species
GGAUUAUGCCUUAUUUAUUUUUCUAUCCUCAGUUCCUGGUAUGUAAUAUUUGUUUAUUAAAUGUUUAUUUAUAGGAUUAUAAAUCUGGGCAUGAAUGUUUAUGCUUGUAACCCAGGGAGCCAGAGGUAGGAAGAUUAUUACAUUGGAUUUAAGGCUACUUAGUUAAAAAAAAACAAAGAACAAAAAAACAAAACAAAACUGAGGGAUAGGGAGAAUUGUUACGCGAACAACAAAGCAAAUUCCAUACCAGUGUAGAGCAGCCCUUCCCAACCAAGGCUAUAUGAGAAAUUUAAGCCCUAUUAUCCAAAGGCAGCCUGUAAUACAUUAACUUCUCUCUUAUGCUUCUGGAAGGAUUCUAGUUGUUUGACCAUCCUUGAGACGAUUGACAAAAUUCCAGCCCUUUGUAAUAGGGCUUCAUCCCCAGUGGAAUUCAGGUCAAAGAAGGCUCAACCCUGUUUAUGUGAUAUUAAAGGCUGACAGAAUAUAGAUAAGAAGAGUGAUAGCAACGGGCACCCCUGCGUUGUAGGACGUCUUUCUAAUCUUCUUUCCACUGUUAAAUGUUCUCUGACGUUUCUGACUUUGUAAACAGCAAGAGUUCAAGGCUGGGGAGAUGGCUGGAGGAGGAAAAGAGUGUGUACAAAUGUGAGGGCCUGAGUUCGGAUAUGGAGCGCCUACAUAAAAACUGUGUGGCUGCAGUCUGGUUACCUCAGUGUUGCUGAUAGGGCAGGGCAGGAGGCUGGCCAGCCAGCUUAACAGAAACACAAAGCGGAAAGAGUAAGACAGACAGUAAUAGAGAGAGUCAGUUUACCUUAUGUCCUUCUCAGGCCUCUUGAAAUAUUUCCUAGGUAAAGCAAAUUAGUGUCCCUAACCACCAUUAUACCAGAGGAGGAGGCGGAAUCACAGAGUAGAGCCCCCUCGGUGUUCUCAUUAAAAGACUCAAACAAGUAAACACAAAACAAAAACAGGCAUUGGUGUGACUGGGUGUCAGCUCCCUGGGUUCAGCAUCUGUGCUUGCUUCUGGAUUCUCAGAAAGUCUUUAAUAGACACUCUAUAACUAAUAUAGUCUUGGGUCCUAUCUAGAGGACAUAUAGUUGUCUUUCUUUUUUAUUUUUUUAUUUUUUUGGUUUUUCGAGACAGGGUUUCUUUGUAUAGCCCUAGCUGUCCUGGAACUCGCUCUGUAGAUCAGGCUGGGCUUGAACUCAGAAAUCCACCUGCCUCUGCCUCCCGAGUGCUGGGAUUAAAGGCAUGAGCCACCACGCCUGGCUUAUAGUUUUCUUUCUUUUAUAGAUUUUUAAAUUCCAUUUUAUGUGUAUGAGUAUUUGCCUGCAUGUGUGUAUGUGUGCCAUAGGCAUGCCUGCUCCUCAAAGAGGCCAGAAGAAGGCAUCAGAUCUCCUGGAACUGGAGUUAUAGAUGGUCGUGAGCUGCCGUGUGGGUGCUGGAAACUGAACUAGAGUCCUCUACAAGAGCAACAAGUGCUCUUAACCACUGAGCUACCUCUCCAGCUCCUACCUUGUUUUCCUCCCAGCUAAAAGUGAGCAUGGGUUGAGGUUUCAAGAAGCAAAUAUGGGAAGAGGCCCAGGUGCUAAUUCAUUGUCACCAACUCUGUACUGACAAGCCUUAUUCCUGAGGUUCGAAUGUGACCUUACCUAAUUUACAGUUUAUCCUUUUCUCUACCAGUGGCUACUGAAUCAGAGUUGAUGAAAAACUAGGAACUUUACUUAGUUCCUAGGUGUGGUGGUUUGAAUGAGACACACACAUACACACACACACAUUUGAAUGCUUGCUUUGUCCCUAGUGGGUGGAAUUGUUUAGGAUGGAUUGGGAGAUGAGAAGGCGAGUCACUAGGGAUAGGCUUGGAGAUUUCCAAAGCCCAUGCCAGGCCCAGUUUCUUUCACUCUGCUUUCAACUUGAGGAUCAGGAUGUAAGCUCUGAGCUACUGCCCCAGCACCUUGCCUGCCUGCUGCCAUGCUUUCUUCCCACAUGGUCACAGUCUCACCUUCUGAAACUAUAAGCAAUUAAAGGUUUUUGUUUUUUGUUUUUUUAAAACUGAGUUGCCUUGGUCCAUUGCCUCUUCACAGCAAUAGGAAAGUAACUAAGGCACUAGGUAUGUCACAUCGAGUCCCUUAUUAGUUCACAAAGAGAAAAUAGCAACUGGCUUAUACCACCUUAACCAGCUGUUCACCCGAGGUGCCACCAGUGCCAGGCCGGGUGAACACCGUGCACCUCCUGAGGAAACACUGAGAGAAAAGCACUUCACUCUCUGCUGCUCUGGCCCCAGUGCAUAACUCGAAUCUAAUCGUGAAGAAACGUCAGACGAACCCCAACUGGGGAACAUUCUGCAAACUACUUGGCCUGUACUUUUCAAAAAAUGUCAAGGUCACGAGAGAUAAAGGAAGCCAACCCAACAUGACAUUAGGCCUCAUAUGUGAUCCUGGAUGGUAUCCUGGAAAACGGAGAAAAAGUUGUUUCUGUUUUUGUUUGAAAGUCAUCACUUGAAAUGACUAGAGAACUCUUCUUGAGACCUUUAUAUUAGACUCUAGUUUCGAGUCAGUGUCCAGGCCCUCGCAUUGAUCGUUAUACUGUGCUCAUAUAAGGAAUGAUUUCAUUUCUAGG